CUCGCGUCGCGACGUCCUCCGCCCCUGAUUCCUCUCUCCUCGCCGCAGCCCCCGUCCCCGUCCCCUUCCCCCUGUCGAAGCUCUGCCGCCCCCGCUGCGACGAUCAAAGCUCCGCCAUCCCCGUCCUGUACUCCCUUGGAAAAGAUCGUUUUUUUCGACGGGAGGAGUAAUUCCGGCCUAGAUCCGGUGGUGGCGAUGCCGGAUCCUGCGACGGCGCCGACGCGAGCCACCAAGGGCAACGCAUGCCGUGGACCCCCUCUCCGGCUGCGCUUCCGCGAAACCCUAGCGGCUCCGCGUCCCGGCGACCAUCUCCGAGGCGGACAGCCAUCCCCGUCCCGUACUCCCUUGAAAAGAUCGAUUUUUUUCGACGUGAGGAGUAAUUCCGGCUUAAUCCGGUGGUGGCGGUGCCGGAUCCUGUGACGGCGCCGACGCGAGCCGCCAAGGGCAUCGCAUACCGUGGACUCCCUCUCCGGCUGCGCUUCCGCGAAACCCUAGCGGCUCGGCGUCCCGGCGACCAUCUGUAGCAGCCCGAGAAGGCCCGGACAAAUUCUUGGAGCAGUACGCCCGCCGCUCCAGCAACUUUCCUCACCGCCGUCCGUCGUCAUCAAGGUUCUCUCGGUGGUCGGAAUUUUGCAAGAUGAAGUUGAUCCUAUUCUUUCUACCAUGAAAAUUGAAAUGGCACCUUUGGAGUCUUGUGCUGACGUUGGUGGUUUAGAUGCUCAAAUUCAAGAGAUCAAACUAUACGAGGACAUUGGAUUCAGGCCUCCCAAGGGAGUCAUACUGUUUGGGGAACAGGGAAAGCUCUACUUGCAAAGGUAGACAGGCAGAUGGUCUCUCUUGCAUUCCGCUUCUCGAGGGUAAAAACUCCAAAGGAAAGAGCUCAUGUAGACUUGGAAACCCACUAUACUAAGGAAUACCUUGAUGAGAAAUUUGAGUCCUGCACAAGGAGAGCAAUCCCCUACAGAGUGGAAUAUGUGAAGAACAUAUCGUCUUCAGGGAUGCAGUCUAGUUGUGGCUUUGUAAGAAAUGGAUUUACACUUUAUCUGUUAGACAUAUGAGUGCCAUGUCCUGUGUUUCUCAGAUAUUUGUAGAACAAUCAGUUAACUCGUGAUAUCAAUGUCUUAGCCAAUCUCCCCCUUUCCGAUCUGACUGAUGGUAAUCCUUGGACUACGGAACAUGCUGUGCACUGGACAACCUGCUCCUCCUGCGCGUACCCCCUCUGGGAUAAGUCCACUUGCGAAGAUGCAUACUAGGCAGCUGAUGAUGAAGUGGCGCUGAGAAAUGGAGUUGCAUAAAAAAUAUUGCUGGGAUACUAUGCAGUACUCCUAGUAAUAAGUGAGGUCCAUUCUUUUCUCAAGGCCCAAAUUGCAAUGCAGGCAUCAUAAGCUUUCCAAGCUUUGAGACAAAGUUCAGGAAUGGAGCCUUGCCAAAUGCCAAGACAGAAUUAAAAUAAUGUCUCUGCAAAUACCCCCUCCAUCCGAAAAUACUUGUCAAGAGACUCCUGCAAGUAUUUCCGGACGGGAGGGAGUAUCUGGUUAUGUAUUUGGCAAAUUCUUUCUCAUGACCCAGAUUGCGAUGAAGGCAUCAUAAGUUGAUAAUUCAAAGCUUUGGUGACAGAGUUAGUGAGUUGAGGCAUAAAUGGAGCCUUGCCAGGUGCCAAGACACAGCUGAAAUAAUUUUCCUGUAUCUCCUGUCUUAAAUUAUGAGCACAUGCUACAAUAUUUUUACCAAAAUAAUUUUCCUGUA